GAUGAACGCUGGCGGCGUGCCUAAUACAUGCAAGUCGAGCGAACAGAUAAGGAGCUUGCUCCUUUGACGUUAGCGGCGGACGGGUGAGUAACACGUGGGUAACCUACCUAUAAGACUGGGAUAACUUCGGGAAACCGGAGCUAAUACCGGAUAAUAUUUCGAACCGCAUGGUUCGAUAGUGAAAGAUGGUUUUGCUAUCACUUAUAGAUGGACCCGCGCCGUAUUAGCUAGUUGGUAAGGUAACGGCUUACCAAGGCGACGAUACGUAGCCGACCUGAGAGGGUGAUCGGCCACACUGGAACUGGACCACGGUCCAGACUCCGACGGGGGGCAGCAGUAGGGAAUCUUCCGCAAUGGGCGAAAGCCUGACGGAGCAACGCCGCGUGGGUGAUGAAGGUCUUCGGAUCGUAAAACUCUGUUAUUAGGGAAGAACAUACGUGUAAGUAACUGUGCACGUCUUGACGGUACCUAAUCAGAAAGCCACGGCUAACUACGUG
rnacentral:rRNA from 1 species